UAUACAACUGACGAGGCUAUU
rnacentral:misc_RNA from 1 species